GGAUAUAAAGAUCCUAAAGGCACCUGAUCCCAUCUGAUGUUGGAAGCUAAGAAACCCACAUUAGUACUGGGAUGGGAGACCACCAAUGAAUACAAGGUACUGUAGUCC
rnacentral:rRNA from 1 species